rnacentral:rRNA from 1 species
UACGUAGGGGCUAGCGUUGUCCGGAAUCAUUGGGCGUAAAGCGCGUGUAGGCGGUUCGGUAAGUCUGCUGUGAAAGUCGGGGCUCAACCCUCGAAUGCCGGUGGAUACUGUCGGACUAGAGUGCGAAGAGGCGAGUGGAAUUCCUGGUGUAGCGGUGAAAUGCGCAGAUAUCAGGAGGAACACCAAUUGCGAAGGCAGCUCGCUGGGACGUUACUGACGCUGAGACGCGAAGCGUGGGGAGCAAACAG